AGAAUUGAUCUGGUUCAGGAUGAACGCUAGCGACAGGCUUAACACAUGCAAGUCGAGGGGCAGCAUAGAAGUAGCAAUACUUGGUGGCGACCGGCGCACGGGUGAGUAACGCGUUGCAACCUACCUAUCAGAGGGGGAUAACCCGGCGAAAGUCGGACUAAUACCGCAUAAAACAGGGGCACCGCAUGGUGAUAUUUGUUAAAGAUUAAUUGCUGAUAGAUGGGCAUGCGUUCCAUUAGGUAGUUGGUGAGGUAACGGCUCACCAAGCCGACGAUGGAUAGGGGAACUGAGAGGUUGGUCCCCCACACUGGUACUGAGACACGGACCAGACUCCUACGGGAGGCAGCAGUGAGGAAUAUUGGUCAAUGGGCGAGAGCCUGAACCAGCCAAGUCGCGUGAAGGAAGAAGGAUCUAUGGUUCGUAAACUUCUUUUGCAGGGGAAUAAAGUGGAGGACGUGUCCUCUUUUGUAUGUACCCCGAGAAUAAGGAUCGGCUAACUCCGUGCCAGCAGCUGC
rnacentral:rRNA from 1 species